rnacentral:rRNA from 1 species
UUCCUUCGGGGAACUGGACAGCGGCGGACGGGUGAGUAAUGCAUAGAUAAUCUGCCCUGAAGUGGGGGAUACCUAACCGAAAGGUUAGUUAAUACCGCGUAAGCUGAUUCUAUAUAGGUAGGAUUAGUAAAGGCCUCGGUCGCUUUAGGAUGGGUCUAUGUCCGAUUAGCUAGUUGGUGGGGUAAUGGCCUACCAAGGCUUCGAUCGGUAGCUGGUCUGAGAGGACGAACAGCCACACUGGGACUGAGAUACGGCCCAGACUCCUACGGGAGGCAGCAGUGAGGAAUUUUGCGCAAUGGGGGCAACCCUGACGCAGCGACGCCGUGUGAAGGAUGAAGCCCCUCGGGGUGUAAACUUCUGUCAGUGGGGAAGAUAGUGACUGUACCCACAGAGGAAGCACCGGCUAACUCCGUGCCAGCAGCCGCGGUAAUACGGAGGGUGCGAGCGUUGUUCGGAUUUACUGGGCGUAAAGCGUAUGUAGGCGGUUUGUUAAGUCGAAUGUGAAAUGUUGAGGCUCAACCUCGAAAUUGCAUUCGAUACUGGCAAACUAGAGGGCAAUAGAGGAGGGUAGAAUUCCCAGUGUAGCGGUGAAAUGCGUAGAUAUUGGGAGGAAUACCGGUUGCGAAGGCGACCCUCUGGGUUGUUCCUGACGCUGAGGUACGAAAGCGUGGGGAGCAAACGGGAUUAGAUACCCCGGUAGUCCACGCUGUAAACGAUGGA